rnacentral:tRNA from 1 species
GUGGGCGUGCUGGAGUGGUUAUCGGACUAGAAAUCAUGUGGGCUUUGCCCGCGCAGGUUUGAAUCUUGCCGCUCACG